GGCGGCAGACCACGUUUGGUAAUACCAUGAGUUCCCUGCAAGCACUUCAUGAGGCCUAAUUCUAAGGGCUACUGUGAAGUGUUUGGGGGAACUCUUGGUGUUACCAAGCUUUUACAACAAAAGGAG